rnacentral:rRNA from 1 species
AGCGAACGCUGGCGGCAGGCUUAACACAUGCAAGUCGAACGCCCCGCAAGGGGAGUGGCAGACGGGUGAGUAACACGUGGGAACGUACCCUUUGGUUCGGAAUAACUUGGGGAAACUCAAGCUAAUACCGGAUAAGCCCUUAUGGGGAAAGGUUUACUGCCGAAGGAUUGGCCCGCGUCUGAUUAGCUAGUUGGUGAGGUAAUGGCUCACCAAGGCGACGAUCAGUAGCUGGUCUGAGAGGAUGAUCAGCCACACUGGGACUGAGACACGGCCCAGACUCCUACGGGAGGCAGCAGUGGGGAAUAUUGGACAAUGGGGGCAACCCUGAUCCAGCCAUGCCGCGUGAGUGAUGAAGGUCUUAGGGUUGUAAAGCUCUUUUACCCGGGACGAUAAUGACUGUACCGGGAGAAUAAGCCCCGGCUAACUUCGUGCCAGCCGCCGCGGUAA